rnacentral:rRNA from 1 species
AUUGAACGCUGGCGGCAGGCCUAACACAUGCAAGUCGAGCGGAUGAAGGGAGCUUGCUCCUGAAUUCAGCGGCGGACGGGUGAGUAAUGCCUAGGAAUCUGCCUGGUAGUGGGGGAUAACGUCCGGGAACGGGCGCUAAUACCGCAUACGUCCUGAGGGAGAAAGUGGGGGAUCUUCGGACCUCACGCUAUCAGAUGAGCCUAGGUCGGAUUAGCUAGUUGGUGGGGUAAAGGCCUACCAAGGCGACGAUCCGUAACUGGUCUGAGAGGAUGAUCAGUCACACUGGAACUGAGACACGGUCCAGACUCCUACGGGAGGCAGCAGUGGGGAAUAUUGGACAAUGGGCGAAAGCCUGAUCCAGCCAUGCCGCGUGUGUGAAGAAGGUCUUCGGAUUGUAAAGCACUUUAAGUUGGGAGGAAGGGCAGUAAGUUAAUACCUUGCUGUUUUGACGUUACCAACAGAAUAAGCACCGGCUAACUUCGUG